rnacentral:rRNA from 1 species
AAUAUUGGACAAUGGGGGGAACCCUGAUCCAGCCAUGCCGCGUGUGUGAAGAAGGUCUUCGGAUUGUAAAGCACUUUAAGUUGGGAGGAAGGGUUGUAGGUUAAUACCCUGCUAUUUUGACGUUCCACACAGAAUAAGCACCGGCUAAAUUCUUGCCAGCCGUCGCGGUAACACGAAGAGUGCAAGCGUUAAGAGGAAUUACUGGGCGUAAAGCGCGCGUAGGUGGUUCGUUAAGUUGGAAGUGAAAGCCCCGGGCUUAACCUGGGAAUUGCUUUCAAAACUGACGAGCUAGAGUACGGUAGAGGGUAGUGGAAUUUCCUGUGUAGCGGUGAAAUGCGUAGAUAUAGGAAGGAACACCAGUGGCGAAGGCGACCACCUGGGCUAAUACUGACACUGAGGUGCGAAAGCGUGGGGAGCAAACAGG